rnacentral:misc_RNA from 1 species
AUGAAAACAUCAUCCCAUCGGUUUCCGAUGACGAUGGACUUGGGUGUUGCCGUCCGGCUCGCCUCAAAAGCGUUAGCGGUUCCUAGGUCGAAUCUGGCGUAAUAAGUUUCGCUGGCCAAGAUCGAAGGCUGCUCAUAACCCGUCUUCUGACAUCUUUUUGCUCUGACCUCAAAUCAGGUAGGACUACCCGCUGAACUUAA